rnacentral:rRNA from 1 species
CCCUUAGAUGUCCGGGGCUGCACGCGCGCUACACUGAAGGAAUCAUCGUGCUAAAACCAUUGUCGAAAGGCAUUGGUAAACCCAUUAAAAUCCUACGUGAUUGGGAUCGGGAAUUGCAAUUAUUUCCCUUGAACGAGGAAUUCCCAGUAAGUGUGGGUCAUAAGCUCGCGUUGAUUACGUCCCUGCCCUUUGUACACACCGCCCGUCGCUGCCCGGGACUGAGCCGUUUCGAGAAAAGCGGGGACUGCUGCUGUCGGGGCUUUCGGGCCUUGGCUUCGGUGGAAACCGCUUUAAUCGCAGUGGCUUGAACCGGGCAAAAGUCGUAACA